rnacentral:rRNA from 1 species
GUGGGGAAUCUUGCGCAAUGGGCGAAAGCCUGACGCAGCCAUGCCGCGUGAAUGAUGAAGGUCUUAGGAUUGUAAAAUUCUUUCACCGGGGACGAUAAUGACGGUACCCGGAGAAGAAGCCCCGGCUAACUUCGUGCCAGCAGCCGCGGUAAUACGAAGGGGGCUAGCGUUGCUCGGAAUUACUGGGCGUAAAGGGCGCGUAGGCGGACAUUUAAGUCAGAGGUGAAAGCCCAGGGCUCAACCUUGGAAUUGCCUUUGAUACUGGAUGUCUUGAGUUCGGGAGAGGUGAGUGGAAUGCCGAGUGUAGAGGUGAAAUUCGUAGAUAUUCGGCGGAACACCAGUGGCGAAGGCGACUCACUGGCCCGAUACUGACGCUGAGGCGCGAAAGCGUGGGGAGCAAACAGGAUUAGAAACCCCAGUAGUCC